rnacentral:rRNA from 1 species
UACGGGGGGAGCAAACGUUGUUCGGAAUCACUGGGCGUAAAGGGCGUGUAGGCGGCUGAAUAAGUGGGAUGUUAAAUCCCCCGGCUCAACCGGGGACCUGCAUCUCAUACUGUUCAGCUCGAGCACAUCAGAGGAGACUGGAAUUCCCGGUGUAGCGGUGAAAUGCGCAGAUAUCAGGAAGAACACCCGUGGCGAAGGCGGCUCUCUGGUACGUGACUGACGCUGAGGCACGAAGGUCAGGGGAGCAAACGGG